GCAGUUCUGUAAAGGCAUGUUUAAAGCUUAAAACUAUAACUUACCAGGCCUAGAAAUGCAUAGAAAAAAAUACUCAGAACGGAAGAGGUCUACCCUGUCACACACAUAUGCACACUUGCACGCACGGACAGAUUUGAAAAUACAGCUGGAGCUCUAAAACAGGAAGUGAACGCUGUCUUGUGUUCUCAUCACUUACAGUUUCCGCGUGCAGUCUUUACGCAAACUAACUGAUCUCUCAUUAAUUUCUGUCCAUCCUUCCGUAAAGAUGGCUGUGGAUGAAGAUUGGCUGAGCAGCCGACUCAGACUGUGCCAGCUGAACGCGGAUUCGCUUCAGGGACACAAACAGGGUUUAUUGGGGGUGACUGUCAAUUAUCAGUCCUUCCCUCCACCUACAUAUGAAAAGUCCUCAGUCCUGAGAUCACUUGGAACAUACGCCCAGGACCUGAAGGAUGCUGCUGGUAGGGAGGUAAAUACAGGUCAGGAACUACUGGGGGCAAUGAGAGAUCAGAUCCUCAAUCAAUUCGCCCAGACACUGGCCAGAAAUGUCAUGCAGUCUGCUAGGUCUCAGUUGGGGAAUUCCGUCUGUGGGCCCCAAGAAGAUGGUCAGGGUGAAGAGUGGGAGGCUGACAGCUCCCCCAGGUUUCCUGUUCUCAUGGAGGACCAUGCGUGGGGAGGCUCGCACAGUUCAGAUCUUGCUCAGGAGCAGAUGGGAGGUGAAUGGGGGGUAGAGGGGGAUGACGACGAGUCGACCUGUGAUGAGGAUGUCCUUGAUUCUAACGCUGGCCUGCCCAGUGAGGGCUCCAUUGACUACCCCAACCCUCCUCCCACCUCCCCCCUCCUGCCUGAAAGAGCCAGCAGCCCCGUAGUGUUCUGCAGGAAUCUCAAACGGGGGCUGGCUAAUGGAUUCCGUCCUUCCCCACCACCCCCGACCCCCAAAGACUCAGUGCAAGGGAGUCCCACCUACAAGGAGGACAAGACAGAAUUUGUGGCUCGGCUCCUGCGCUCGCUGUCCCUGGAGUGCAUGCAAGGAGGCCUGAGUGUAUCGAAUGGUGAGCAAGAUGAGGUAAGAAGAGAUGCAGCCGCCCAGGCGGAGGUGCCCGGACUGUCAGAAUAUGCCAUGCACCUGUCUGCGGAAAUCAUUGGCUUUCUUGCCACCCACAACAUGGAACAUCCAGAGGAGCCAAACGGAGGAGCACUCUUUGCUGGUAACCAGUCCAUGUGCGCUCGCCGAGAACCUACUCCGUCUCCUGGAUGUGACCUCCAGCUGGUGAACAAAAGCCCUGUGAAGACAUGUAUCUCCAGCAGGUCAAUGGGCGACGCAUCAGGGUACGUCAGAGUCCACGCAUCAGCUGAGCAGUGCGUAGAGAGGGCUCUGGCAGCAGCACUCCAGGAGGUGGCUGCAAAGCAGGAGAUGGGUGGUGACGCGUCUUCACCAUGGAGGCAUACCGUGGACAUCAUGCCUAACAGCAAGGCUCUAGGGAAUAAGGAGGCCUCAUUGGCUUCUGAAUCUGGGAAAAACAGUCUGGAAGAGUUUGCAAGCGCUCUAGUAAACAAGGCUAUGCAACAAGUCGUGCUUCAGAUGCAGCUGGACCAGGAGCGGAGAGCACACCCUAAUCCUGGAACCCAGAGCUGUGGCAGAGUAAGACCGAUGCAGUGUGUUCCACUUCCUCCUCCCAGCUGCUGCUCCUUCGCUGCAGACGUAGCAGAGGAGGUGCUGAGGGGCUCUGUCUUAGAAGCUGCCAAGCAGGAAGUAGAAAUGCGGACGAGCCAUCGGGGCCCUGGGGGGUUAGAGAUCAGGGCGUUGCUAGGCAGCCAGACACCUGGCAGCUUGCAGGUCCUGCAGGCCCUGCUCCUCUGGGCUGCCGCCUCCUACGUGGACGUCAGGAAGCUCCAGCUCACUCUGACGGACGUACGGCUUUACACGCAGGUACGCCAGAGCUGGGUCACUCGCUUAUAUUUACUGUGGAUUUCCCUCAGCUGAAUGUCACCACUUAACUAGACGUAGCUAUAAUGUACAACCCAAUAAUCCAUCCAUCCAUUCUUAAUAAAUACCGAAUUAUGUUAUGAUGGUCAGGUGUUUUUAAAAAAGUGCUCCAGCAACCAAUGAACACACAUACAUACACACGGUCACACCGAAUGGGCAAUGUGAUGUCACUAAGUAACUCAAAUAGCACGUCUUUGGACUGUGGGUGGAAACCUGAGUACUUGCAAAAAACCCACACGGACAAGAGGACGCCAGCUCGUGGCUGGAACCUGUUUCGAACCCAUAAUCCCGACAGAUCUGUUUGCCUACCCGCCACGUUACUCUCACAUGAUUGUUCAAUGCAGGAACCCAAUGCGACACCAGCAACCCGUUGGUUGUCCCGAAACCUGAAUAAAUGUAGCACGUUAUUGGCUCGUAUGCCUGAUUCAGUCCUUUGUGAUUAUAAUGACAGAUUCACAGCCGAGACCUAAUCCAGGAGGGAAAUUCCAAGCAAAAGAACGCACUUAGCGACCAAUAGCAUUCUCGUGCUCAGGGCUGGUCAAGCCAUUAAGCACUCCAGCAACAUUCAGCCCAAUAAUUCCAACUUUCCCGGUUCAUUUUAUAUAUCCAUUCUGAGUAUAUAUUUUGCAUAUCCAGUAUAUUCAUAUUCAGCAUCUGUAUAUUGUCUGGGUGACACAAAAGUACCAUAAUGUGUUUAUUGCUUUUACAAAGAGAUGAUGAAACCUUCAUAACGUUCUGCACCAUAGCCCAGUGGGCACAGCUGACGGGCUGGACUGUGGGAGACCUGGUCGAGUCACUUGUGCGGUUUUGUGAGCAGCUGGCCAAUGCGGAAGCCGGUCCGCAUGACUCUGCUCU